UACGAAGGGUGCUAGCGUUGUUCGGAAUUACUGGGCGUAAAGCGCGUGUAGGCGGGCCUUUAAGUCAGGGGUGAAAUGCCAAGGCUCAACCUUGGAACUGCCUUUGAUACUGGAGAUCUUGAGUCCGGGAGAGGUGAGUGGAACUGCGAGUGUAGAGGUGAAAUUCGUAGAUAUUCGCAAGAACACCAGUGGCGAAGGCGGCUCACUGGCCCGGAACUGACGCUGAGACGCGAAAGCGUGGGGAGCAAACAGG
rnacentral:rRNA from 1 species